rnacentral:rRNA from 1 species
CCCUUAGAUGUUCUGGGCUGCACGCGCGCUACACUGAAGGACUCAACGUGCUUGUCUCCUUGGCCGUCAGGUCUGGGUAACCCGUUGAACCUCCUUCGUGCUAGGGAUUGGGGCUUGUAAUUAUUCCCCAUGAACGAGGAAUUCCCAGUAAGCGCGAGUCAUCAUCUCGCGUUGAUUACGUCCCUGCCCUUUGUACACACCGCCCGUCGCUACUACCGAUUGAAUAUUCCGGUGAGAAGAUAGGAGAAAAAUCUUUUGAUUUUUUGAAUAUUUUUGAACCUUGAUAUUUAGAGGAAGGAGAAGUCGUANCA